ensembl:misc_RNA Metazoa_SRP Metazoan signal recognition particle RNA
GCUGGGCACGGUGGUGCAUGCCUGUAAUCCCAGCUACUUGGGAGGUUGAGGUGGGGGAAUUGCUUGAACCCAGGAGGCUGAGUUUGCAAUGAGCCAAGAUGGCACAACUGCACUCCAGCCUGGGUGACAGAGCGAGACUCCAUCUCAA